rnacentral:rRNA from 1 species
UUCCUACGGGUGGCUGCAGUGGGGAAUAUUGGACAAUGGGCGCAAGCCUGAUCCAGCAAUGCCGCGUGUGUGAAGAAGGCCUUCGGGUUGUAAAGCACUUUUGUUCGGGAAGAAAUCCGUGUGGUUAAUACCCGUACGGGAUGACGGUACCGAAAGAAUAAGCACCGGCUAACUUCGUGCCAGCAGCCGCGGUAAUACGAAGGGUGCAAGCGUUAAUCGGAAUUACUGGGCGUAAAGCGUGCGUAGGCGGUUUGUUAAGUCAGAUGUGAAAGCCCCGGGCUCAACCUGGGAACUGCAUUUGAUACUGGCAGGCUAGAGUACGGUAGAGGGUGGUGGAAUUCCCGGUGUAGCGGUGAAAUGCGUAGAGAUCGGGAGGAACAUCCGUGGCGAAGGCGGCCACCUGGACCAGUACUGACGCUGAGGCACGAAAGCGUGGGGAGCAAACAGGAUUAGAUACCCCGGUAGUC